GGAGAUAACUAUGCCUCUACUUGGAUUUAACUUUAUAAUCUUUGUUUAUUUUUAUUUUUAGGGUCUACAAGGAGAAAGAGGAGAAAAGGGUACACGAGGAGACAAGGGAGACAGAGGCCUGGAUGGAUUCCCUGGAAAGCCAGGUCUGGAGGGGAAACAGGGCCCUCCUGGCAGCCCUGGCCCUCCUGGUGCUAGUGGAACCAAAGGAGACAAGGUAAGUUGGGAUGGGAUGCAUAAAGUGGAUUUAGAAACACAUUUGUUAAUUCUUCUUGGGCC
rnacentral:lncRNA from 1 species